UAGCCAACGGUGUCAACUUACUAGGCAGC
rnacentral:piRNA from 1 species